rnacentral:rRNA from 1 species
UACGGGGGGGGGCAAGCGUUGUUCGGAAUUACUGGGCGUAAAGGGCGCGUAGGCGGUUCGCUAAGUUGAAUGUGAAAACUCUGGGCUUAACCCAGAGCCUGCAUCCAAAACUGGCGAACUGGAGUACUGGAGGGGAAAGCGGAAUUCCUGGUGUAGCGGUGAAAUGCGUAGAUAUCAGGAGGAACACCGGUGGCGAAGGCGGCUUUCUGGACAGUAACUGACGCUGAGGCGCGAAAGCCGGGGGAGCAAACAGGAUUAGAUACCCUGGUAGUCCCGGCCCUAAACUAUGGAUACUUGGUGUGAGGGGGAUUGAAUCCCUUCGUGCCGUAGCUAACGCAAUAAGUAUCCCGCCUGGGGAGUACGGUCGCAAGGCUGAA